rnacentral:rRNA from 1 species
UACUUGCUAGUUACCAUCAUUAAGUUUGGGGACUCUAGCGAGACUGCCAGUGAUAAACUGGAGGAAGGUGGGGAGUGACGUCAAAUCAUCAUGCCCCUUACUGACCUGGGCUACAAACGUGAUACAAAUGGCUGGAACAAAGGGAAUGCGAAGCAGUGAUGUGGAGCGAAACCCAUAAAAACAGUCUCAGUUCGGAUUGAAGUCUGCAACUCGACUUCAUGAAGUCGGAAUCGCUAGUAAUCGCGGAUCAGAACGCCGCGGUGAAUACGUUCUCGGGGUUU